UUGCAUUCUUUUAGCCCUUAGUUAUGUACAAAGACAGAAAGCAAAAGUAACUUGGUCAUAGGAAGAGGUAGGGCGUUAUGAGCAUGUAAUAUGAGACGAGUGGAACAUGUGCAGGAAAUGAUCUUCCUCCGAGUCAUCGACUGCGGCAGAGAAAACAAGCAGACAGCACUGGAAGCAGCUAAUGCUCAUCAGAUGGCAUAAUUCAGUGGAAAAUAAAUAGAAAGGAUCAUUCUGUCCAAAGAAAUAUUAGCAUCUCUACAAUCAUCAAACUCCAGUCUAAAGGAACUGUACCUGAGUAACAAUAGCUUCAGGAUUCAGGAGUGAAGCUGCCAACAGGAGAAGCUGAGGUAAUUUUAAAAUCAUAAAUCUUGUCGCUGUUGGACGGAAACCUUGUAUGUCCAAACUAGCUACUUUUCAGGAAAUGAGAAAAACCCUAGUUUUUGAAUAAUUAAACACUGUCGUCAUAUUUGGUGUUUGUCAUUAUAAAUGCCUAUAUUUUGUACAUCAUUAGAACAGCUGCAUCUAAGGCAAUAAGUGCAGUGCUUUACAGUUUUCAUCAACUUAAAGUCUACAAAGUUUAUUGAAGCUAAAUAAGGGCUCAUUUUUUCCUGUUGUUGAAAACAUUUGGCCAAAAUGUAUAAAGAUACAUGUUAUAAAGAUACAAAUGCAGUAUUAAGACAGUAUUGGCUUUGACUAAAUGGCAUAAUUACAUAGAAAAAGUCUUAGAUCUGUGAGAUCAGCUCAUGAAAAAUGGGGGCAAAAACAAAAGUGUUGCGUUUAUAAUUUUGUUCUGUGUAUAUAUGUUUGUGUGUGUGUGUGUAGCCAUCUCAUCAUUUACAUGGCAUAUACAAUGUUGUCCUAUUAAACAGAUAACUAAAUUUGCAAACAACUAAUUUCAAUCUGAAGAAAAUUUCAAUGUGCACAUUUGUUUAAAUGUUCAAUUUAAAUUUAAAAAUGAGUUAUUAGGAUCUAUGUAAAUGUAUUGUUUUAGUAUGGAAAGGAAGUAAAAGUAUUGCAAAAGUACACUAUUGCAUAAAAUAUUAGGCUUUGCCUUGAUAUCAGAUUUGAUGAUGAGUUACAACAAAAUGGAUUGAGAUAAUUAAAAACACUUAUUUACUUUUUGCCCUCACGGUCUCAUGAUGAUCUAAGUGAAAUUAGGUAAAGACCGGACCAACAGUCCAGUACAGGGCUGUAAAAACUCCUACAGAGUUUAGUUCCAACUCAGAAUCAGAAUCAGAAUCAGAAUGAGCUUUAUUGCCAGGUAUGUUUACACAUACGAGGAAUUUGUUUUCGUGACAGAAGCUCCGCAGUGCAUCAGAAUGACAGCGACAGAACAAAAAAACACACAAUAAAAGAAUAAAAAAUACAAAAAAUACAAAUAAGUAGGUAAGGAAUGACAAUAUACAAAUUGACAAUUGUAUGGCAGAUAUAUUACAAUGAGCAGUUAUGUAUGUACAGG
ensembl:lncRNA